rnacentral:rRNA from 1 species
CCUACGGGUGGCAGCAGUGAGGAAUAUUGGUCAAUGGACGAGAGACUGAACCAGCCAAGCAGCGUGAAGGAGGACGGCCCAGUGGGUUGUAAACUUCUUUUAUCAAGGAAUAAAACGAGGCACGUGUGCCUUUUUGCAUGUACUUUAUGAAUAAGGAUCGGCUAACUCCGUGCCAGCAGCCGCGGUAAUACGGAGGAUCCGAGCGUUAUCCGGAUUUAUUGGGUUUAAAGGGUGCGUAGGUGGGUUGUUAAGUCAGUUGUUAAAGAUUGCGGCUCAACCGUCAAAUUGCAAUUGAUACUGGCAGUCUUGAGUACAGUAGAGGUAUGCGGAAUGCGCGGUGUAGCGGUGAAAUGCUUAGAUAUCACGCAGAACUCCGAUUGCGAAGGCAGCUUACCAGACCGUGACUGACAUUGAUGCUCGAAAGUGUGGGUAUCAAACAGGAUUAGAUACCCUUGUAGUC